UUAAAUUGAGAGUUUGAUCCUGGCUCAGGAUGAACGCUGGCGGCGUGCCUAAUACAUGCAAGUCGAACGCACUGUGGUUUGAUGAAAUGAAGAGCUUGCUCAGAUUUGAUUCAGACAUUGCAGUGAGUGGCGAACGGGUGAGUAACACGUGGGAAACCUACCUCUUAGCAGGGGAUAACAUUUGGAAACAAAUGCUAAUACCGUAUAACAAUGAGAACCGCAUGGUUCUCACUUAAAAGGUGGUCAUGCUAUCACUAAGAGAUGGUCCCGCGGUGCAUUAGUUAGUUGGUAAGGUAAUGGCUUACCAAGACGAUGAUGCAUAGCCGAGUUGAGAGACUGAUCGGCCACAAUGGGACUGAGACACGGCCCAUACUCCUACGGGAGGCAGCAGUAGGGAAUCUUCCACAAUGGACGAAAGUCUGAUGGAGCAACGCCGCGUGUGUGAUGAAGGGUUUCGGCUCGUAAAACACUGUUGUAAGAGAAGAAUGACAUUGAGAGUAACUGUUCAGUGUGUGACGGUAUCUUACCAGAAAGGAACGGCUAAAUACGUGCCAGCAGCCGCGGUAAUACGUAUGUUCCAAGCGUUAUCCGGAUUUAUUGGGCGUAAAGCGAGCGCAGACGGUUAUUUAAGUCUGAAGUGAAAGCCCUCGGCUCAACCGAGGAAUUGCUUUGGAAACUGGAUGACUUGAGUGCAGUAGAGGAAAGUGGAACUCCAUGUGUAGCGGUGAAAUGCGUAGAUAUAUGGAAGAACACCAGUGGCGAAGGCGGCUUUCUGGACUGUAACUGACGUUGAGGCUCGAAAGUGUGGGUAGCAAACAGGAUUAGAUACCCUGGUAGUCCACACCGUAAACGAUGAGUGCUAGCUGUUUGGGGGUUUCCGCCCCUAAGUGGCGAAGCUAACGCAUUAAGCACUCCGCCUGGGGAGUACGACCGCAAGGUUGAAACUCAAAGGAAUUGACGGGGACCCGCACAAGCGGUGGAGCAUGUGGUUUAAUUCGAAGCAACGCGAAGAACCUUACCAGGUCUUGACAUCCUUUGACCACACCAGAGAUGGUGCUUUCCCUUCGGGGACAAAGUGACAGGUGGUGCAUGGUUGUCGUCAGCUCGUGUCGUGAGAUGUUGGGUUAAGUCCCGCAACGAGCGCAACCCUUAUUGUUAGUUGCCAGCAUUUAGUUGGGCACUCUAGCAAGACUGCCGGUGACAAACCGGAGGAAGGCGGGGAUGACGUCAAAUCAUCAUGCCCCUUAUGACCUGGGCUACACACGUGCUACAAUGGCAAGUACAACGAGUCGCCAACCCGCGAGGGUGCGCAAAUCUCUUAAAGCUUGUCUCAGUUCGGACUGUAGGCUGCAACUCGCCUACACGAAGUCGGAAUCGCUAGUAAUCGCGGAUCAGCACGCCGCGGUGAAUACGUUCCCGGGUCUUGUACACACCGCCCGUCACACCAUGAGAGUUUGUAACACCCAAAGUCGGUGGGGUAACCUUUUAUUAGGAGCCAGCCGCCUAAGGUGGGACAGAUGAUUAGGGUGAAGUCGUAACAAGGUAGCCGUAGGAGAACCUGCGGCUGGAUCACCUCCUUUCUAAGGAA
rnacentral:rRNA from 1 species